AUUGAACGCUGGCGGCAGGCCUAACACAUGCAAGUCGAGCGAGCGGCGGACGGGUGAGUAAUGUCUGGGAAACUGCCUGAUGGAGGGGGAUAACUACUGGAAACGGUAGCUAAUACCGCAUACCAUCAGAUGUGCCCCGGUGGGAUUAGCUAGUAGGUGGGGUAACGGCUCACCUAGGCGACGAUCCCUAGCUGGUCUGAGAGGAUGACCAGCCACACUGGAACUGAGACACGUGCCAGACUCCUACGGGAGGCAGCAGUGGGGAAGAUGGCCCAAUGGGCGCAAGCCUGAUGCAGCCAUGCCGCGUGUGUGAAGAAGGCCUUCGGGUUUUAAAGCACUUUCAGCGGGGAGGCGUUACCCUCAGAAGAAUCACCGGCUAACUCCGUGCCAGCAGCCGCGGUAAUUC
rnacentral:rRNA from 1 species